GCGGCCUUGCCGAGCAGAUACGAAAAGAAGCGGAGGGGUUUGCUGAAAAAGCCCCGCCGCCCCCCGCGUCGCGAGGAGGGAGACGACACUAGCCGAGCCGAGCGCCCCAAACCCAAACCCCAGAACCUCCGACCUAGGGUUCCGCCGCCAUGGGAUCCGCCGCCUCCGCUGCUGUGCCGCCGCCGCCUCCCCCCGCGCAGGCCCACGCGGGCGCGCCGCCGUAUGGGCCCGGGCUCGCCGGGAUCCUCCCGCCGAGGCCGGAUGGGGAGGAGAAGAAGGAGGAGAAGGUGGACUACCUCAACCUCCCCUGCCCCGUGCCCUUCGAGGAGAUCCAGCGCGAGGCCCUCAUGUCUUUGAAACCUGAACUUUUUGAAGGACUGAGGUUUGACUUUACAAAAGGGUUGAAUCAAAAGUUUUCUCUUAGCCACAGUGUUUUCAUGGGCUCCUUAGAAGUUCCAGCCCAAUCAUCUGAAACUAUUAAAGUUCCAACUGCACAUUAUGAGUUUGGUGCCAACUUUUUAGAUCCAAAGUUAAUGCUCAUUGGGCGUGUUAUGACUGAUGGGAGGCUCAAUGCUCGUGUCAAAUGUGAUUUGACAGAAAAUCUUACGCUGAAAGUAAAUGCACAGCUUACCCAAGAGGCGCAUUACUCCCAAGGGAUGUUUAACUUUGACUACAAGGGAAGUGACUAUCGAACACAAUUCCAAAUUGGAAACAAUGCAUUCUAUGGUGCAAAUUAUAUCCAGAGUGUUACUCCCAACCUAUCAUUGGGAACUGAAAUAUUCUGGCUUGGUCACCAGAGGAAAUCUGGAAUUGGUUUUGCCUCUCGCUAUAAUACGGAUAAAAUGGUGGGUACUCUACAAGUUGCAAGCACUGGAAUAGUUGCUUUAAGUUAUGUCCAGAAAGUUUCUGAGAAGGUUUCCCUCGCAUCUGACUUCAUGUAUAACCACAUGUCGAAAGAUGUAACUGCCAGCUUUGGUUAUGAUUACUUGCUUAGGCAGGUCAGUGUUUAAACACUUCUUUUGUGCCUGAUAACAUUGCAACAGCAGUUGAGUUCCUCCAAGUAGUAUAUCUCUUCACCAGUUUGUUUCUACCAAUGAUGCAUGAACAUGCCGUCUGAGAGGCAAAAUCGACUCGAAUGGUGUUGUUGCUGCAUACUUGGAGGAGAGAUUGAACAUGGGUGUCAACUUCCUUCUUUCUGCUGAGAUUGACCAUUGUAAGAAGAAUUACAAGUUUGGUUUCGGAAUGACCGUAGGCGAGUAACCAUGCUAAAACAAUGCCUGUGGGUGCACCUGAGAUGCCUACACAGUUGGUUUUGCAUGGAUGUUCCAACACUUCAGGCCUCAGUUUUGAGUGAGCAGGUUCUUGCCCUUGUGCCCUGGGAAAAUACAGGAGCAAUCACUUGCUACUUUACAGAGUUUCUCUUUCUGUGUAUUGGUGGUUAUGAAUUUUGAACUGCUUGAUGAUGUGAGCAUGGGGGGCCAUGAUUCUUUGUUCAUCUUGGAUGGAACUAGUGCGGGAAUAAUGUUGUAUUGGCUGAGUGAUUUUUUACAAUUUUACCUUUAAGUCACCACCAGCCCUUCACUCUAGGCCUGUCAUAUACCUUCACCUUACGUGAGCCACAGAAGAUUUUAUGGUCCGAAGCAUCUGACCAUUCGCCAUGUUUAGAGUCCUCAUGCUUUUCUUCAUCGAUAUUGAAUCAGAGUAAUUAGUAUAAGCAUGUUUUAUGAUCAUGCUAAUGGCACCA